rnacentral:lncRNA from 1 species
CUGCGGCCAUCGCCGCGCGCCGCGCCAAAGAGGGGGACCCGAGCAGCCGCGGCAGUUACUAUGGCAACUGCCAAGCGCCGGGCCUAGCGGUGGACCGCGAAGCCUUGCGAGCGCAGGCAAAGGAAAGGGGGAAAGGGUGCUCGGCUCCGGAGGGUGUUGUCGCUGCGGUAGCCUGUCCUCCGUAGCGGCUCUGAAAGUCGAGGCACGCUCCGCGCCCUUGCAGUUGCAGCAGUGGCUCGACGGACGAAGCCGGGGGAAAGGCGCCCCCAGCAGCUACUUCCCGGUUCGCGGCUAUGCAGCCAACCUACUGAUAAUACCUAAUGCGGCUGCUAAAUUCUCGCCCGUAAUUUUUCCGACAUAAAUCCAGCGUAGAGACUGUCCUUGGGAACUUAUUGCCAAAAAAAAAAAAAGUGCAGAAGCCUUCCUGUGCAGCGACUUCCGUGCAAAGCAGUGGCUUUUUCCAUCAAGCCAUGCACGAACACACAGCGGGUGGAUCCUUUAGCAUCACACAGAUUAGCGAUCAACAACCCAGUGCUAUGCACACUGCAAGUCUUGCUGCUGUUUGUAGGGCUUGCUCCCAAAUAACUGCGUAAAAUUCAAUUUGAUUGAAUUCGGUAGCAACCAGCAGACACAGACAUAAAGCUCCAAUGUCACAGGAACAGAUGCCACAGACCUAGCGGGACUUACUUCAAAGUAAAUAAACGAAGAUUUUAUUCUUUUUAAAAGCAAGCUUCAUGACAGACGGGGGAUUUGUACCUGGGCCUCCUCGUAAUUCACAAUCCAUGCAUUUGGGGGGGGGCAUGAGAAGUAACCAGGGUGUUGUUUAAGUAGAUGUGUUUGGAUCCAUACAGUCACUAAAGAGUUAUUUUAAGCUAAAAUGCAACAAAUGCUGCAGAGUGAGGGGAAACUUGUGGCUCACCACUAUAUUAAACUGUGGCACUCAAGCAACCACAUCCUACACAGGAAUCUGAAUAGCACUGAAUGCUUUCUGUGUGGUAAGCACCAUAUUUUCACAGGUAAAAAAUAGUGCACAAUGACUUGGAAAACCAUGAUAUCCCUGACAGAAAGGCAGUUUGAGGGAUUAUAGGCUGUUGGUGCAUGCAAAGGGGGGUGCACAUUUAUUGCACAAAAACAACAGCAUGCACCUGUAAACGGAACAAAUAUAUUUCUUUUUCUGUGCUUUUGCUGGUAAAAAAAAGGUGUCCCUGAAUCUGGUCAUUUCAUGUGAUGUGAAUGGUCUAUGGUUCAAUCCUAGCAAUGUUCAUUUGCAAGUAAGUCUCAUUAAUUUCAAUAGCACUUCCAAGGAAAGUUAUUGUAUAAGAUGCGUAAGAAGGCCUUUAGGAGUAGAGUACACCUGGAUAUAAGAUACAUGCCCCAUCUCACUUUUUCCUUCUUGACCCUGUCUUGCCCAUCUAUUUCUGAUAUGCAGGGUCUUGUCCACACCUGGCACCAUAUAUACGUGAUAUAGUAGAAUUAGUGGACACACUAGAAAAGCAGACAGCUUGCUCAAAUGCAGUGUAAGCAAUCCAACUGAACACCACAUCAGACAGACAAGUUUACUGCAAUGCAGACAUGGCCUAUUAAAGGAAGCACAACUUAAGUUAUUGUGUUCCACUUCAUUAAGGUCAGUUCCCAAAGUAAGGCACACAGCUCUUGUUCUAGCAACUUACAAAUAAAAUAGCCUCAAUAAAAUGCUGACACAUACCUGUUACCAGUGUUCUCCUAACAUAGUGUUGCUUUGAAGAUAAAGAAACAUGGUACAGCGCUUUGUAUAUAGAGAAAUGCUACAUAAGUUAUUUUUAAUGUUGAAACAACCAUGCACACACAAAUGAAACACUGAAGGACAAAAAUCCACAGACAUGAGGAAAUAUCUACACCUGACAUUCUACAGAAAGGUGGUGUGUGGGCAUAAAGAAGCAUAAAGACAGGUUCAGGAAAAGGUGAGAAAAGCACAGUAAUAGAAAGAGGCCAAGAAUUGUCAUGUAUGAGGAGAUUAGUAGCAACAGACAAUACUGCACCAACCAAACUGUGGAAUCUUCUAUUACGUAAAAGGUACGGAAGGAGAACUUUCCAAAACAAGUGAAAUCUGAUAAUUGCAGAAUUUAGGAGCUGCAGUAUUUGUCCAUUCCACUGACAGAUAUUAUUGUCCUAUCAUGUAUGUUACCAUUAGAUAUUCUGCUAAUGCUUCCAGAAAUCAUUUGGGGGGAGGGUUUUCUCCAGUUUCCCAUGCUUGGUAACCUGGAGCAAUAGAAGCUUAGCUAGCUUUUGUUUUCCUUUAUAUAGGUCCCUUUGAGAAGUGAGAGUGCUCUGAGCAUUCUCAGAAAUAGUUCCCACUUCAUAACUCCAUCAGCUUGCAAAGUCCAGUUCAUGUUGCAUGAAUACUAAGGGAUUAAGAGAGUAGAGAUUCACAUGCUUUACAGCUAACAAAAGUGCUGUUCUUCCCUAUUUCUGAGGAUUCUACAGUUUCACUAGGUCUAAGGCACCUCACAAUGAUUCCAACUGAACACUCCCCUUCCUCUGCUAUUUGCAAGAUGAGAGAACUCCAGGGCUUCAUUUUCUAAAAGAGGUGUGUAGUAUGUGUCAAACAUCCCCAGAAAGCAUACCCUCCACCUCUUUUCUGUAAUUCAGAAUGUGUGAGGCCUGGUUGUAGUUACUUAUUAGCAAAAGGAAUCCAUUGUCCACAUACUCAGAGUCACUCUUUUAUUAUCACUUCUCCUGGUGUCCCGCCAUUGAAAAACAUAGCCAAGCACUGGUAAACUCAUUAUGUGGUCUCAGGAAAGUAAAGUUCACUCCUAUUGUUACUUGCUGUGAUGGGAAUUCAAGGUGACACAUCAGCGGUGAAGAAAUCCAGGGUAAUGUUAGACUCAAGCAGCUCAGGACUGUAUCUUUCUUGCUAGAAAUUUCCCCAGCCACGACCCAUGUAUUAAUGGUGUUUAAUUGGCCAGGUUAAUUCCCUCUACAUAGCCAUAAAUAUGCUCUCAUCACACUAUAUCCAAAAUCCUAUUUUGCUUUGCUUUUAUGCCCUUAAUUAAAAAGUUAGAAAAACAAUGAGGGUACCUUUGAAAACACAUGCCAUACAUAAAAAGGUGCAGUGAUGCCUACAUGAAUCCACAUAACUCUUCUCUCCCAAACCUGCCAUCUUCCCCAUACUGUAAUUAGAGAGUUUGGAAUUUUUCCAAGAUACCAUAGAAUUCAGUAUUUUUAACAUAAAAUCAAUUACGUUUAAGGCAAACAUGUACUUUCUAUUUUUUGUUUCCCUCUCCAUGCUGAGCUCUGCCCACAGCAUAUUGGCUUCUUGUUUUCCAGCCUUCCCUUAAGGCUUAACAAGCCAGUGAAUUAUAGUGUUUGCUUCUUGCAAUAGCAUAGUCACAAAUAUUCUUUCUUUCUCCUCUCUCCUAUCAACAUGCUAUUUACUUUUGAAUUUUAAUCUCCGGUGGACUCAUACAAAAUAUAAAUCAGACUGGAUGCCAGCUUGUGAUAUACAUAUGGAAGGAAGUACUGAGUCAUUUGAAAACCAAACAAAGGAAGUGAUUGAAAGUUUCCAGCAAGGCCUUAUAGAUUUUCAGACUUUUAUUUAAAUUGCAAUAUUGAAAAGAUUAAAACUUAUCAAGCAUCAUGGUUUGAAUCACUGCAAAUAGGAAAAGCUGCCAAGUCUCAUUAAUUGGAAACAUUGAUUGCACUUUGUGUUGCAGUUAUUAAUAUGUUGGCAUCAGUGGAUGCCAUCCACUUCAAAGCAAAUUGCCUCUCAAGUGACAAGCACAAACCACUUAAACCACUGCACUUGCGUUUAAACCAACUAAUCUUAGUAAAUCCACCAAACCACCUUAAAUUGGUUCAUUUGCACACAGACAAGUGCAUGAAGAAGUUGCUGUCAUAAGCACUUUGCCUCCCCCCAAUGUUUUCUUGAGGGGGCUGGGCCCCACCACUGUUCAGAGGGUGGAGGAGGGCAAAUGUGGAGCCAGGCAUGGUGUGGCUUCAGUGGCCAGUGGUUCCUCCUGCCGCUGUCACCACCACUGGCCAGGGGCAGUUUUCCCCGUCUUUCUCUUGUGCGGCAUAGGGGGAAGAUGGGGGCCACUGACCACUGGGACCACAUUCAGCUCCACCCCCUGGCUCCUCACAACGUUGAGCGUGUGACAUCAGUCCAUCGUGUCAGGCACCCACAAUCUUUUUUUAGAAGUUGGCACCUCUGGCUGCUGUAGAAUCUUGCCCCAUAUACUGAGUUUGUUGGCUUCAGCAAUGCUUUUGAAGCAUCCACUUGAGAUGAUCAAAGCAGCAUUCUCUUCUUCUGGUUCUGUUUAUAUCCUGUGCAUCUCAUGAAUCACUGAUGUUUUGCUCUGUAAGCUUCUCAUCUGAACAACAUCAUGCUGGCCACCUACACAGGAUCCAGGGGAGGGAAGGAGACCGGAUUGGCAAUCAGUCUGCUAUUCUACAAAAAGUCUUGUGGCUAAAAUCCACAAUAUUUGGUUACAUUCCCAUUUUGGUCAACAUGCAGAAAUUGACCUACAAUUGUAGCUUCACAACAUAAGAAUGAGACUUCUGUUUCCUCUCCUCCUUCACCCUACCCUGCAAGUCUUCUCUAGAUGCCCCCCCCCAACCAUCCAUUACGAAUUUUGAAGGCACCUCAUUACUUCCUUCCAGAUCUGCUAAACCAGGAGUCCUAGAAGACAAAGGUCUGUCUAUUUCAAAGAUUGCUAAAGUUCCUAAACUUAAGAAACAACGGUGCCUAUUUUUACACCUGUUUUCAUUUGCCAAGAGGCACAGGACCCUGAGCUUCUACUAUCACUUUUCCUUCUAUAACUUCUGCUUGUUUUGCCUUCUCCCCCACUUGAUGUUCUCCUUCUCCACAGCUUUCAGGCAGAUAAUUGCAUCUUGCUUUCAACAGAGAUUACGAUUUCUGCAGACCACUUAAAUUAGUUCAUUCCCACAUAUUAGUUCAUGAAAUACCUGCUGCAAAAUCUGAGUUUGUAAUCCAGAUCCUCACAGAUUCUGCUACUAUAAAUCCUUUCCCCUUCACUUCUAGAUUGCUUUGGCUUCAGCCACUGGCGGAGGAAAGGGGUGCAGAGGGAGCAGACCGCCCCCGGCACCACUAUUCCAGUAGGAUGCCAUCAUGGCGGCCCUCCUGGACAUGUGCCGCGCACCCCCCUGUGCGCCGGGCGCCGCACCCCCACAGGCGGUCACGCCCCCAGAACACGUGGCAUGCCCCUGUGGGUGGCGUACCACACCCUCACAGGCGGCGUACCAUGCCUCCCCGGGGCAGCCUCGUCCCCGCCUGCUCUCUGCCCCCGGUAGUGGAGCAUGCAGCUUCACCACUGGCUUCAGCAUAGGGUAGGAAGGACAUGCCUCUAUCACAUGUGCAUUACAGAGCUCCUGCAAAUCCAUUUCUCAUCACUUUAAUCACUCAGAAGCCCCACAUUAAUUACCUACAAGCCACACAAAAUUCACAAGUUACAGUUUAGCUAACCCAGCCUGUUGUGUGUAUAAUUGCUGUCACCUGUCCUUAAAGUGGGAUUUAAAAUACAUAAAAACUGUAUUGCUGCAUCAUUAUGGAAAGUAUUACCAAGGAGGAAAGUUAGAUGAAACAUCAUAGAGUAGAAAUCAGAUAUAUGGUACACAAUGGAAAGAUGACAGGAAAAGAUAUACUCAGGGAUGAUCCUUUGGGAGAUAUCAGUCUGGAAGCAUUCAGUUAAGAUGGAUGUUGGCAGGCCACAUAUGUUAGUCCAGAUAAAUGUUCAAUCAUAUUCAUAAAUAUUAAGUUUUCCCCUUUCUUCUUUGUUGUCCUGCAGUCCACAAGUACUGCAUCAUUUUUACACUUUCUAAAACAGUGCCAAAAGGUUUUAUACUAGAUUAGAAGAAAGUACCCUCCAAUGUUUAGCACACAGAAAGAUACAUGUAGGCUAUCUUUAGUGAUUUAUCAGUUCAAAACACAGUAGCAAGCAAACUACAUACUUCCAAAAAGAGAGAUGUAUAGGCCAUUAAUUAGCACAGAUAAAAAAUAAAAUAAAAGACAAAAAUUUAGCCUUCAGUGUCACAAUGUAAUAUAACUUCUAAUUCAAGAUGGCAAGGAUAGAUAAAGAGACUUGUUUUUUCAGUCUUUGAAGAAGGUAUGCUGUAAUAUAAAAUGAUUACAUUGCAAUUAAUCCAUGUGAGAGUAGUCUUGUGACUUUAUAUUACAGUGGUACCUCGGGUUACAAACUUAAUUCGUUCUGGAGGUCUGUUCUUAAUCUGAAACUGUUCUUAACCUGAAGCACCACUUUAACUAAUGGGGCCUCCUGCUGCUGCUGCGCCGCCACUGCACAAGUUCUGUUCUCACCCUGAAGCAAAGUUCUUAACCUGAGAUAAUAUUUCUGGGUAAGCGGAGUCAGUAACGUGAAGCGUAUGUAACCUGAGGUACCACUGUAGUCAGAACAAAAUAUUAGAUGAUACAGAUAUUUUUAAGGAUAUCUUUAAGGAAUAGUUCACAGAUACAAAAUAAAACUGGGCAGUUGUUGGGAGUUCCUGGAGAAUACCAGUUAUGUAUCUAGAUCAACUUCAGUCAGGGCUCAGGUGCCAUUUUGAGACAGAAUCAAAGGCACUGUGGGUUUGUGGUUCCCAUGCCAAGAAGACUGGCCAGUUGCCUGCUCUGAAUGGGUCUGCACACCUUCUGAAGAAACAGGUUUCGAGUUUGGGGGUGCUCCAUCUUGAUUCUGGGUGGCUCACAUGGCCUCAGUGACUAGGAGUGCACUUCACCUGAUACAGCUGGUAGAUCAGCUACAGCCGUUCUUGGACAGGGAUAGUCUGGUCACAGUGAUUCAUGCAUUGAUAACCUCAGUACCCCAUUACUGUGGUGCACUCUAUUUGGGGCUACCCUUCAUCUGUCCAGUGGCUCCAGCUGCUGCAAAAUACUACAGCUAUACUACUGAUGAGGAUGGCUAGAACAGCGUCAGCAUCUGGUGCUCAAAAGUUCUGGUGCUCAAAAGCUUGCACUGGCUGUCCAUAUGCUACCAGGCUGGGUUCAAGGUUCUUGUAUUCAUUUACAAUGCCAUUAACAACUUGGGUCUAGGAUACUUCAGGGACUGCCUGCUUCCUUAUGCCACUGCUUGAUCACUGAGGUUUGGGGAAAAUUCACUGUUAAUCAUCCCCCAUGGCUUGGAUGCAUGGCUUGUAUUCACAAGGAGCCAUGGGUUCAGUAUUGUGGGCCCAAUAUGGUGGAAAUCCCUUCCACCUUAGGUCAGCUGAGGACCACUCCUUGUUGAACUUCCAUUGAUUAGUGAACAGGCUUUUUAUUGAAUCCUAAUUUCAUAGUUUUAAUUCAUAUUUAGUCUUAUUGUAUUGGAUCUCCUAUAUAGCAUUUAGAUACAGCUAUGAUUAAGCAGUAUACAAAUGAACGAACAAACAAACAAAGAAAUAAUAAACUGGAGACAAAUUCCUAACAAUCUACUUACACUUCCUCACUCUUUGCAGACAAGCCUGCUGAGUUUACAUUCCUAACACAUUGAAAGAGUUACAAAUUAGUUACGCAGUUGCAUUCCAAAAAAAUAGCCUUUAAAUUAGAAGCUAUACCACAGGUGAGGAGCUAUAUAUAAUAUUUUCAUUUCAUGACAACAAAUAUUCUUCCUGUGUGUGUAAAAGAAAAAAAUCGCCUGUACUUCUUCCAAAUCUACAUAAAAAGGACACCAUCAACUUUUCAGAAUCUACUAAUGCUGAUAAAGUAGGCAUGCAAGCCAGGGAAAACAUACUAUGUAUAUAUUUCAGUUUAUUUUCUUCACACAUUCAACAUAUUGUUAUAAAUACAGUCCUUCGCCUUCCUUCCCGACUAGAUACAUAGAAAAUUGUAUACUUUUUUUUUCUUCUGUUGGAAGCUGCCUCUAUUUCAUUAAAAAGAAGGAAUGAAAGGGUACUUGGACCUCUUUAAGAAACACAUAUCUGGGGUUCCUUUCAGAAGUAGCAAAACAUCUCUGAAGUUUUUCUCCUAUUACGGGAUCCCUACAGAGAAUCAUUUUCAACUGUCUGCUCCCAGCCACCAGCGAUGCUCACCAGAGCAAGACAGUUUGAGCAUACAAUGGUUUGAACAUAUAAUGCCAAUUGUGGCCAACUGCACGGGUUGCUGAUUACUUUCCGGUCCUAAUUCAAAGUGCUGGAACAGUGCCCCUUCUCUGCCAGCCCACUUGCUCACCUGCAUGGAAUCCCUUGAUGCCCAUGGAUGCCAGGAUGGUUGUAUAUCCCAUCAUAUGUCAAAGUGAUAAACAACUACCUGACAUUUAAGACAUCUGAAGGCUUCAUCUGAAAACUUCAGGGAAGUUUUUAAUGUGUGACAUUUUAAUGUAUUUUUUUAAAAAAUGUUUUUAUUAAGCAAUUUCAACAUAACAAAUUGUCAAACCGUAUAAUCACAUAAUUAUUUCCCCCCUUUUCCCCCCACCCCCUUCCAUCCCUCCCUCCCCACUCCCACCAAGGAUGUCCCUCAGCUCCUCUUUCUGAUUUCUCUGCACUUAUUAUUCUCUGCAUGUUAUAAAAUUAUACACAGUAAAGGUAAAGGGACCCCUGACCAUUAGGUCCAGUCGUGACCGACUCUGGGGUUGCGGCGCUCAUCUCGCUUUAUUGGCUGAGGGAGCCGGCAUACAGCUUCCAGGUCAUGUGGCCAGCAUGACUAAGCCGCUUUUGGCGAACCAGAGCAGCACACGGAGACGCUGUUUACCUUACCGCUAUAGCGGUACCUAUUUAUCUACUUGCACUUUGAUGUGCUUUCGAACUGCUAGGUUGGCAGGAGCAGGGACCAAGCAACGGGAGCUCACCCCCUGGCGGGGAUUCAAACCGCCAACCUUCUGAUCGGCAAGUCCUAGGCUCUGUGGUUUAACCCACAGCACCACCCGUGUCCCUUUAAAAUUAUACAUAUCAUUACCUUAUCUAUCUAGCAUGUUAUCAACCAAUAAAUUUGUGUAUUUUUAUUCAAAACCUGCCAAGGAGUCCAGUUGAUUUUGUUGUCUUUUUAGAUAAUUUGUGAAAAGCUCGACAUUUUAAUGUAUUUUUAAUCUUUGUUGGAAGCCGCCCAGAGUGGCUGGGGAAACCCAGCCAGAUGGGCGGGGUAAUAAUAAUAAUAAUAAUAAUAAUAAUAAUAAUAUACAAGGCUGUGUCCCUGUCUCUACCCUGAACCUCAGCAUUGGUCGACACCAAAAGGGUUUAUAGUCAAACUUCCAACCAAAAUGUAGAACCUGCCACCAGCCUAAAACCAGCCUAAUUCAGAUCACUGUGCACAACAAGCAGAAAGCAUGUGUGCUGCUGAUCAAGGAUGUGUGAUGCAAACAGUUCCAUAAGAAUGUAAGAACAGCUGUGCAUCUUGUUUCCCCACAGUGACAAACCACAUUCUUAUGGAAAACCUACAAGAAGGAGAUGAAAACAGUAGGCUUCUGCUGUUCUUCCCCAGCAACUGGUAUGACUCAAGCGACCAUGUGAGCAUUGAAAGCUCAGUAUGGUGAAUUAAUCUGUCUGACUGGUACUAACAUAAAGUGCAUUUAUAAAUACAAGUUUCUAAAAUUAACUGUACUUGCAGCUCUGAGGUUUCUGAGCAAAUAUGGCUUUUAAU